GACGAACGCUGGCGGCGUGCUUAACACAUGCAAGUCGAACGGAAAGGCCCUGCGGUUGUGGGGUGCUCGAGUGGCGAACGGAUGAGUAACACGUGAGUAACCUGCCCUUGACUGUGGGGUAACUUCAGGAAACUUGUUCUAAUAACAUAUAGGAGCUUCUGCAGCAUGGCUGUGUGUGGAAUGUUUGGGCUGUUGGGGAUGGACUCGCGGCUUAUCAGCUUGUUGGUGGGGUAGUGGCUUACCAAGGCUUUGACGGGUAGCCGGCCUGAGAGGGUGAACGGCCAACAUGGGACUGAGAUAAGGCCCAGACUCCUACGGGAGGCAGAAGUGGGGAAUAUUGGACAAUGGGCGGAAGACUGAUGCAGCAACGCCGCGUGCGGGAUAACGGCCUUCGGGUUGUAAAAAGCUUUCGCAUGUGACGAAGAGUGAGUGACGGUACUGGGUAAAGAAGCACCGGCUAACUACGUG
rnacentral:rRNA from 1 species